GAUGAACGCUGGCGGCGUGCCUAAUACAUGCAAGUCGAGCGAACAGACGAGGAGCUUGCUCCUCUGACGUUAGCGGCGGACGGGUGAGUAACACGUGGAUAACCUACCUAUAAGACUGGGAUAACUUCGGGAAACCGGAGCUAAUCCCGGAUAAUAUAUUGAACCGCAUGGUUCAAUAGUGAAAGACGGUUUUGCUGUCACUUAUAGAGGGAUCCGCGCCGCAUUAGCUAGUUGGUCAGGUAACGGCUUACCAAGGCAACGAUGCGUAGCCGACCUGAUAGGGUGAUCGGCCACACUGGAGCUGAGACACGGUCCAGACUCCUACGAGAGGCAGCAGUAGGGAACCGGACGCAACGGUCGAAAGCCUGACGGAGCAACGCCGCGUGAGUGAUGAAGGUCUUGGGAUCGUAAUACUCGGUUACUAGGGAAGAACAAAUGUGGAAGGAAAUAUGCACGUCUUGACGGUACCUAAUCAGAAAGCAACGGCUAACUACGUG
rnacentral:rRNA from 1 species